CUGCGAGUUCGCGGGAGAGUAGGUUAUUGCCAGGGUUUUUUAUUUUAUACUUCAAAUCUUGAAUUUAUUUUUUAUGUUUUUUAAAUGUUUAUUUUUUUGAAUGUUUGAUUUAAAAAAAUAAACAUUUAAAAAACAUAAAAAAUAAAAUAGAUAUUGACAUGGAUUAAACAAAGAUAUAUAUUAUUCUAUGUUGCAUAAACAAAUUGGCAAAGUAGAGAUGGAAGAUAAAAAUAUGGUCAAAGUAAUAAGAGUCUAUGGUGAAUGCCUAGGA
rnacentral:misc_RNA from 1 species